UACGUAGGCAGCGAGCGUUGUUCGGAAUUACUGGGCGUAAAGAGUGUGUAGGCGGUGCUCUAAGUUCGGUGUGAAAUCUCCUGGCUUAACUGGGAGGGUGCGCCGGAAACUGGAGUGCUUGAGCGUGGGAGAGGAAAGCGGAAUUCCUGGUGUAGCGGUGAAAUGCGCAGAUAUCAGGAGGAACACCAAUGGCGAAGGCAGCUCGCUGGGACGGUACUGACGCUGAGACGCGAAAGCGUGGGGAGCAAACAGG
rnacentral:rRNA from 1 species